rnacentral:rRNA from 1 species
UAGGGAAUCUUCGGCAAUGGACGAAAGUCUGACCGAGCAACGCCGCGUGAGUGAAGAAGGUUUUCGGAUCGUAAAACUCUGUUGUUAGAGAAGAACAAGGACGUUAGUAACUGAACGUCCCCUGACGGUAUCUAACCAGAAAGCCACGGCUAACUACGUGCCAGCAGCCGCGGUAAUACGUAGGUGGCAAGCGUUGUCCGGAUUUAUUGGGCGUAAAGCGAGCGCAGGCGGUUUCUUAAGUCUGUUGUGAAAGCCCCCGGCUCAACCGGGGAGGGUCAUUGGAAACUGGGAGACUUGAGUGCAGAAGAGGAGAGUGGAAUUCCAUGUGUAGCGGUGAAAUGCGUAGAUAUAUGGAGGAACACCAGUGGCGAAGGCGGCUCUCUGGUCUGUUACUGACGCUGGGGCUCGAAAGCGUGGGGAGCAAACAGG